UGCACAAAUAAAUAGAAUUUUAAUCAGUUGGACACAUUAGUAUAGUUUUUCUCAAAUACUUUAAUAGAGCAAGAAGAUGGAAGAAAUCCAUGUUGUUUCUAUUGUGGCUAAGAAUAGGCUACGCUUCCAAGAAAGGCAUGAAACCCACUAGGUUCAUAGCUUGUAAAGGAUUCCUAAGUUA